rnacentral:ncRNA from 1 species
AGAAAAAGUUUUUUGUUUGCAGAUUUAAUUGUUAGAAAAUGGCUAACAAGUUUCUACCGCCUUCCAAAAAUGGCGACAAUCCGCAAAUGCAAUUUCCUU